rnacentral:SRP_RNA from 2 species
GCUGGGCAUGGUGGCGCAUGCCUGUAAUCCCAGCUACUUGGGAGGCUGAGGCAGGAGAAUUACUUGAACCCAGGAGGCAGACGUUGCACUGAGCAGAGAUGGCGCCACUGCACUCCAGCCUGGGCGAUAGAGUGAGACUCCGUCUCAU